AGGUCCACCUUUUGCUUUUGUUGAUAUUUAUUUAACUAUCACUGGGCAAGGUAGACCUUGG
rnacentral:pre_miRNA from 1 species